GUUAUCAGCAGCACAUCCCACAUGCUGAGAGGUUCCACUGCUUCCCUCCCAGCACAGCAGAAAAUAAAAGCAAAGCCUAGAACUUCCAGACUUGAAUGGCUGACAUUAAAGUAAUUAAACUUGAA